CUUUAUGGAACUUACUUUCAACUUCAGUUCUUCGUCAAUCGGUAGAGGAGCAAGAAGCUUCUUCUUUUCGCUUUCAGCAACUUGAGUCUCGUAAGAUUCCACCAGAUACUGUGAAUUAGAAGAGAAGCUGUCAGGUCUAGCAGGAAUUCUGCGGGAUUCAUCGCAAUCAGAGGAACACAACCUAUAGACGAAAAAUAAUCCAAUGCAGCAGACGCCUUCCCGAAGUAAAGCAGGCUUCCUUUGCCAAGAAGAAUCAACUUGUCGAACUUGUGGAAGAGCCUGCUGGAUGGCUGAUGAAUCGUGGUAAUCACCGUUUUCCCUGCCUGUUUCAUUGUUAAAUAACAUCAGCGAAUUAAAAACGUGAUUUUCUUUCUAGCUUUUCCUGCUAGCUUUUUCAUAUGAUUUUCUAUAGGAAACUAGGAAAGUACGAGUUGUUUAUUCCUUCGGUUUUACCUCUGCUA